AAUUUGUGAAGUUAUGCAUCUAAGUUAAGCUAAGGGCUAAUUUGUGAAUGUGUGAACCCAUCAGGCCAAGGGCCAACCUAUGAAGUUAUGAACCGACAAGACUGUCCUUAAAUGUGUACAGAAUCAGACUAACCACAGGAUUUUUGCAUUUACUUAUCUAAUUAGAGAAAUGUGUACAUUGCACUCCACCUGGAGGUCAGUUUUAACCCAUGGCAUCCGUGCCUCUUUUGUCAACCUCAGAGUAUCCAGGCACUUAAGUGAAGGCAGCCCUUUUUGCUAAACUUUUGAUUUUACACUCUGAUUGUUUGCUUAAGGUUGAUGUAUAUAUAAUUCCUUUGCCUAUCCAUGUUGUUUUAUGCCCAAUUUUAAGGGCUGGGUCUGUAUAUAUAUAUGUACAUAACUAACUCUCUGGUGCACGUCAUUGUAUGUUUAUUUGCCUUAUGUUCUGUCUGUGAUCCUGGCAUGAUAGUGGUCGCUCAAUGGAUGCAGUUCUUUUAUUUAUGUUAAUUUAUAUUGGUAAAUGCU